GACGAACGCUGGCGGCGUGCUUAACACAUGCAAGUCGAGCGGAAAGGCCCUUUCGGGGGUACUCGAGCGGCGAACGGGUGAGUAACACGUGAGUAAUCUGCCCUUGGCUUUGGGAUAACCACCGGAAACGGUGGCUAAUACCGGAUAUGACGCGUCUCGGCAUCGGGUGCGCGUGGAAAGUUUUUUCGGCCAGGGAUGUGCUCGCGGCCUAUCAGCUUGUUGGUGGGGUAAUGGCCUACCAAGGCUUCGACGGGUAGCCGGCCUGAGAGGGUGACCGGCCACACGGGGACUGAGACACGGCCCAGACUCCUACGGGAGGCAGCAGUGGGGAAUAUUGGACAAUGGGCGGAAGCCUGAUCCAGCAACGCCGCGUGAGGGAUGACGGCCUUCGGGUUGUAAACCUCUUUCAGUACCGACGAAGCGCCGAUGAUGGUGGUGACGGUAGGUACAGAAGAAGCACCGGCCAACUACGUGCCAGCCGCCGCUGUAACAC
rnacentral:rRNA from 1 species